AUUGAACGCUGGCGGCAUGCCUUACACAUGCAAGUCGAACGGUAACAGGUCUUCGGAUGCUGACGAGUGGCGAACGGGUGAGUAAUACAUCGGAACGUGCCUAGUAGUGGGGGAUAACUACUCGAAAGAGUGGCUAAUACCGGAUGAGAUCUACGGAUGAAAGCAGGGGAUCGCAAGACCUUGUGCUACUAGAGCGGCCGAUGGCAGAUUAGGUAGUUGGUGGGAUAAAAGCUUACCAAGCCGACGAUCUGUAGCUGGUCUGAGAGGCCGAUCAGCCACACUGGGACUGAGACACGGCCCAGACUCCUACGGGAGGCAGCAGUGGGGAAUUUUGGACAAUGGGCGAAAGCCUGAUCCAGCAAUGCCGCGUGCAGGAUGAAGGCCUUCGGGUUGUAAACUGCUUUUGUACGGAACGAAAAGCCCCGGGUUAAUACCCUGGGGUCAUGACGGUACCGUAAGAAUAAGCACCGGCUAACUACGUGCCAGCAGCCGCCGUAA
rnacentral:rRNA from 1 species